rnacentral:rRNA from 1 species
UACGUAGGGUGCAAGCGUUGUCCGGAAUUAUUGGGCGUAAAGAGCUCGUAGGCGGUCUGUUGCGUCGGCUGUGAAAACCCGGGGCUCAACUCCGGGCCUGCAGCCGAUACGGGCAGACUAGAGUUCGGCAGGGGAGACUGGAAUUUACGGUGUAGCAGUGAAAUGCGUAGAGAUCGUAAGGAAGACCAGUGGCGAAGGCGGGGUCUCUGGACAGUUCCUGACACUGAGGCACGAAGGCCAGGGGAGCAAACGGG